rnacentral:rRNA from 1 species
UACGUAGGACCCAAGCGUUAUCCGGAGUGACUGGGCGUAAAGAGUUGCGUAGGUGGUUAGUAAAGUGAAUAGUGAAACCUGGUGGCUCAACCAUACAGACUAUUAUUCAAACUCACUAACUCGAGAAUGGUAGAGGUAACUGGAAUUUCUAGUGUAGGAGUGAAAUCCGUAGAUAUUAGAAGGAACACCAAUGGCGUAGGCAGGUUACUGGACCAUUCUGACACUGAGGCACGAAAGCGUGGGGAGCGAACAGGA